UAACGUAUGCAGCUGGAGGGCAACUUCAAUCUGAUUUGUUUUUCAGGCCCUCCUGUGUUUUGCAUUCCAUUUUCCAGCCUGUACUAGGACUGAAAUCCUACUCAUGAAGACACCACUGAAUGGGCUCUGCUCACAGAGCUAUUUUUCAUUUGCCAUGGUGGUGAAUAUCUUUUGGGAUUCAGCACCAAGGAUAGUUCCUGUAAAGUUCAGAAGGAAAGCUGCAAUGGCUAAGGAACGUAAUUAGCACAGAAGUCACCAUCUUUCCCUGGGGUUACACUGUCAGCUAAAGAACCCCUAAACAACUCUGAUUAGACUGCACAAUAAAUGCUCCAUGUAGAAAAGCUCUCAGGAGUUUUUCUGGCUUCCAGUGAGAACAGAUACAGCAUCAUGGAAAUUAAAUAUAAAACACAAUAGGGGCAUAGCUCUGUAACUAUAAUCUACCUCCUUAAUAAUAACAGCCAACCACAUCAACAGGUUUUAAAAAAUUGGACUACCUUUGGAGGCAGAUGAACUCUCCUGAAAAUACUAGUUCUUUAUUCACCAUCAUCUCUUUCAUGAAUGGUCAUUAAUAGAACUCAGAGCAUG